GACGAAGGAUGCAAGCGUUAUCCGGGUUCAUUGGGUUUAAAGGGAGCGUAGGUGGACUUAUAAGUCAGUGGUGAAAUCUCCGAGCUUAACUCGGAAACUGCCAUUGAUACUGUAGGUCUAGAGUACAGUUGCCGUUGGCGGAAUAUGACAUGUAGUGGUGAAAUACUUAGAUAUGUCAUAGAACACCGAUUGCGAAGGCAGCUAACGAAGCUGUAACUGACACUGAGGCUCGAAAGUGCGGGGAUCAAACAGGAUUAGAAACCCGGGUAGU
rnacentral:rRNA from 1 species